ACAGCAGCAGCCACGGUAAUACGUAGGUGGCAAGCGUUGUCCGGAAUUAUUGGGCGUAAAGCGCGCGCAGGUGGUUUAAUAAGUCUGAUGUGAAAGCCCACGGCUCAACCGUGGAGGGUCAUUGGAAACUGUUAAACUUGAGUGCAGGAGAGAAAAGUGGAAUUCCUAGUGUAGCGGUGAAAUGCGUAGAGAUUAGGAGGAACACCAGUGGCGAAGGCGGCUUUUUGGCCUGUAACUGACACUGAGGCGCGAAAGCGUGGGGAGCAAACAGGAUUAGAUACCCCAGUAGUCCCUGUCUCUUAUAC
rnacentral:rRNA from 1 species